AAGAGCGGAGUGAUGGGAGACCAUCACGCUCCGUUCUGUGGGAGCCGGGGAGUGCGAUUCUCCCCGGCCAUCCGAC
rnacentral:ncRNA from 1 species